UCACGUCAUUUGAAAUUUGCUCCAAGUCACCUUUUGAUGCUCUUUAAGUAUCUUAAGUGUUUUUAGCCUUGUUUGCAUCAAACUUUGCAGAAAGAGUAGAGAUAAGACAUUACCUUUUUGAAAGUGCAUUAGCUACCAUAAUUUUCUUUUCUUUGCUUAUAUUGGAUCACAUAUGGGAAGGACUCUAUGAAUUUCACCCAUUUUGCAUGUCAUUUAUUAAGCUUGUCUUGCCCUUUUAAAUGCCUCAAAGAUUCAUGAUCAGUGUGAAUCACAAAUUCUUUUGGUAACAAAUAAUGCUGCCAUGUCUCUAAUGCUCUUACCA
rnacentral:lncRNA from 1 species